CAGUCGCCGCGGGAAAACGAAGGGGGCUAGCGUUGCUCGGAAUGACAGGGCGUAAAGCGCACGUAGGCGGAUCCUUAAGUCAGAGGUGAAAUCCCAAGGCUCAACCUUGGAACUGCCUUUGAUACUGGGGAUCUCGAGUUCGGGAGAGGUGAGUGGAACUGCGAGUGUAGAGGUGAAAUUCGUAGAUAUUCGCAAGAACACCAGUGGCGAAGGCGGCUCACUGGACCGACACUGACGCUGAGGCGCGAAAGCGUGGGGAGCAAACAGGAUUAGAUACCCGUGUAGUCCCUGUCUCUUAUAU
rnacentral:rRNA from 1 species